rnacentral:rRNA from 1 species
GUUAUCCGGAUUUACUGGGCGUAAAGGGUGCGUAGGCGGUCUUUCAAGUCAGGAGUGAAAGGCUACGGCUCAACCGUAGUAAGCUCUUGAAACUGGGAGACUUGAGUGCAGGAGAGGAGAGUGGAAUUCCUAGUGUAGCGGUGAAAUGCGUAGAUAUUAGGAGGAACACCAGUUGCGAAGGCGGCUCUCUGGACUGUAACUGACGCUGAGGCACGAAAGCGUGGGGAGCAAACAGGAUUAGAUACCCUGGUAGGCCACGCUGUAAACGAUGAGUACUAGGUGUCGGGGGUUACCCCC